rnacentral:rRNA from 1 species
GAAUAUUGGACAAUGGGCGAAAGCCUGAUCCAGCCAUGCCGCGUGUGUGAUGAAGGCCUUAGGGUUGUAAAGCUCUUUCAGCGGGGAAGAUAAUGACGGUACCCGCAGAAGAAGCCUCGGCUAACUCCGUGCCAGCAGCCGCGGUAAUACGGAGGAGGCUAGCGUUGUUCGGAAUUACUGGGCGUAAAGCGUGCGUAGGCGGUUUUUUAAGAUGAGUGUGAAAGCCCGGAGCUCAACUCCGGAACUGCGCUCAUGACUGGAAGACUGGAGUCCGAGAGAGGUGAGUGGAAUUCCCAGUGUAGAGGUGAAAUUCGUAGAUAUUGGGAAGAACACCAGUGGCGAAGGCGGCUCACUGGCUCGGUACUGACGCUGAUGCACGAAAGCGUGGGGAGCAAACAGG